rnacentral:lncRNA from 1 species
CAUAUUGUGAAGCAGAGGUGUCCUCACACUCCCACUUUAAAAGGGAGAGCAGAAUGGUCCUGCCUUAGGAGUUUCAAGCUGCAGCAGAAAGCUUGCUGAGGGGUAAGGAACUUAAUCGCUGCUUGUACCUCCUGAGAUAAGACAGCUGCAUGAUAUUGCUUCACUCAGCUAGUACUUGACUAUGACUUGGCAACUCUUCUCUAGUUUCUCCACUUUACCCCACUGCAUUGGUAACCUAGUUCUGGGUGCAGUUCCACCUCCUGUCUGAUUUGAGGCUACUGAUACACACCUGUCACUUAGAAACAGAACAGCAGAAUCCCAGGACUGGACCAAAGCUUGUUUUGCAGAUCCAUAC